UACGGAGGGUGCAAGCGUUAUUCGGAUUCACUGGGCUUAAAGGGUGCGUAGGCGGCCAAGUAAGUCAGACGUGAAAUCCCCAGGCUCAACUUGGGAACUGCGUCUGAUACUGGAUGGCUUGAAUUCGGGAGAGGGAUGCAGAAUUCCAGGUGUAGCGGUGAAAUGCGUAGAUAUCUGGAGGAAUACCGGUGGCGAAGGCGGCAUCCUGGACCGAUAUUGACACUGAUGAGCGAAAGCUAGGGGAGCAAACGGG
rnacentral:rRNA from 1 species